UCAAACUCACAGAGAUCCUUCUGCCUCUGCCUCCCGAGUGCUGGGAUUAAAGGCAUGCGCCACCAACGCCCGGCUGAAAUAUGUAUUUUUAAAAAGCUGAAAGUAUUGCCUCUCAUCACUUGGAUUGUCCACUGUAGAAUGUUCUAAAUUGCUACAACACUAAUUUGACUGAUAUUACUAAAUAGUUUUAAUCAGAACAGAUUAUAAAAAUACUUUCCAUUGUAAGCAAUAUAGAGAAUACUGAAAAUGUUGUACAAGAACAAUUUAAAAGGAAAAGCAUGACUCUUGCCCAAAUGUAAAGUAAAUAUGUGCCAAAUACUUGACAGUUUUUAAGGAGGGAAACAGUUUCAUGUGAAAAUCUAAGAAGAAUGCAAGUAAUCCACACAUAGCAAACAGGAAAGCUAAGAUGAAUUUGAAAACCAUUGUCAACCUAGGUAGUAGUCAAUGAGCAAAACACAUUAUGUACACAUAUGAGAUGUCAUCAUGAAACCCAUUAUUAUGUGCAUUUAUAUGCUCAUUAUACAAACCUUUAAAAAAGGAACCUAACCACGUGGAUUAUAAACAUUGUAUUCUGUCAAACUGAUUUAUUAAAGGCUGUACACUGUGACAUCAGGAAUCACUAGCUAGCUCCCACUUUUGCCGAUGCUUUCAUUUUUUGUCAAUCAAGGAGAAUAAAGUGCUUCUUCUAAUUAUAUUUCUUUGAUCACAAGUUUGUGGUGUAUUUUUUUUUCUGUGAAGAAAAUGCUAGUUGGUAUUCUUUGGGCAAUAAUCAAUUAUCUUCCACCCCAUUGCAUUUAUCUGAAAGUUUUAUUUCAGAGUAAAUAAAACCAUGGGUUUUCUGCAAUGCAUUAUAGGUCUGCCAAGUCCUGAACGGAACAAUCCAUUUGAUUUUUUUUUUCAAGACUGAAACUAAAAUCCCUUUACAGCUCCUCAGUCCAGAAAUACUUUCCAUUUAUUGUGAGUUGAACUUCAUACGAAUCUUGGAGUCUUUAUUAAACAAAUCUAGCAAAGUUUCCAUAGUGCAACUGUUUGGGUACACCCUGAGCCUGGAAACUGUGGUGCACUCGGGUCCUGUACGUCCUGGGAGGACCAUCCAGCCAUGAGUGGCUGCGCAAAACUUUCAAGGGACAAUGGUCACUAUCUGGGAGUGGAGGAAGACUUAAGUCGUCGGGACCCACAGGCAGAGUCCGCCCGGGGGUAAAGCUUUCUGAACAUAGAUGGCCUGGGAAGUGAAGGUGUACAGCCAGACAGCAGGAGGUUGAGCUUACUCAAGAGAUUGUCUUCCAGAAGCCAGAAGAAUGAAAAAUGUUGACACUGCACUGUUCUGUCCCUCGACUAGGUACCUCAUCCUGAACAGAGACGUAUUUUAUACAAAACCGAACUCUUCACUUGAGUUUGGCUCAAGUCCAUAUGUCCAUAUCUUAUUUAUAAAUAAAAAACCUUAAGUGUCA